rnacentral:rRNA from 1 species
UACGUAGGGUGCAAGCGUUAAUCGGAAUUACUGGGCGUAAAGCGUGCGCAGGCGGCUUUGCAAGACAGAUGUGAAAUCCCCGGGCUCAACCUGGGAACUGCAUUUGUAACUGCAAGGCUAGAGUACGGUAGAGGGGGAUGGAAUUCCGCGUGUAGCAGUGAAAUGCGUAGAUAUGCGGAGGAACACCGAUGGCGAAGGCAAUCCCCUGGACCUGUACUGACGCUCAUGCACGAAAGCGUGGGGAGCAAACAGG